AGAGUUUGAUCAUGGCUCAGAGCGAACGCUGGCGGCAGGCCUAACACAUGCAAGUCGAGCGCCCCGCAAGGGGAGCAGCAGACGGGAGAGUAACACGUGGGAACGUACCCUUCAGUACGGAACAACCAAGGGAAACUUUGGCUGAUACCGUAUACGUCCGUAAGGAGAAAGAUUUAUCGCUGAAGGAUCGGCCCGCGUCUGAUUAGCUAGUUGGUGAGGUAACGGCUCACCAAGGCGACGAUCAGUAGCUGGUCUGAGAGGAUGAUCAGCCUCACUGGGACUGAGACACGGCCCAGACUCCUACGGGAGGCAGCAGUGGGGAAUAUUGGACAAUGGGCGCAAGCCUGAUCCAGCCAUGCCGCGUGGGUGAUGAAGGCCCUAGGGUUGUAAAGCCCUUUCGGCGGGGAAGAUAAUGACGGUACCCGCAGAAGAAGCCCCGGCUAACUUCGUGCCAGCAGCCGCGGUAAUACGAAGGGGGCUAGCGUUGCUCGGAAUCACUGGGCGUAAAGCGCACGUAGGCGGACUCUUAAGUCGGGGGUGAAAUCCUGGAGCUCAACUCCAGAACUGCCUUCGAUACUGGGAGUCUUCGAGUUCGGGAGAGGUGAGUGGAACUGCGAGUGUAGAGGUGAAAUUCGUAGAUAUUCGCAAGAACACCAGUGGCGAAGGCGGCUCACUGGCCCGAUACUGACGCUGAGGUGCG
rnacentral:rRNA from 1 species